GAGUAUAGGCCUUUGCAUAAUGUGGUGAAAUAAUCUCUUUUGAUGGAGCUGUUUAAGUGUUGUAUCGCAACCUCUCUCCUUACGACACAGGGAGAAACGUGAUUUCCUCAUUCCUUUGCCUCGAGUCUGGAGAGGUCCAGUCCAGAAUCAAUAUGCAUUUCUUGGAGUUUGUGGGUGCAGUGAAAUGGCAUUUGAAUUAUGCUUGGGAAUAUUCCAAACUAUGAGAUUAACCAACUAGCCGCCUUGUAACUGCAGAGGAAAGACGGCAGAAGUGAGUGUAGUGUGCGUCGUUUGCGGUGGUGGGUCCAAGGGGCGAACUUGUCUCCAUAGCAGCUGUAGAACCUAUGAUGAGAUUGAGGGGUGCCAGUGGGCUAAGGGGAGGGUCAGUCAUAGGAGACGCAGUGUCCACACCGUGGGAAGCACAGUUGCAUGUUUCCGGUAGAUUUCCGAGGAGUCAACAUCAAAUGUUCACUUGUAGCACAUCAUAACAUUAUACUCAGGGGGACCGUCAUUUAGUAUCAAAGACUUCCCAUGGAUAUUUCUCAACCCCAAGUGGGAUAAUCAAUGGAAAAUACGACUUCUGUUCUGCCCUUUACCCUGGAGUCCUCUGCUCUGUUACCCAGAAGUCACACACAUAGGAAAAGCGUGCAUUCCUCCCCAGAUUUGUGAGGAAUCUGAAUUCUAAUCAUCUCCCCUCUCCAGGAAUUACAAAUAUGGCAGUAGCUACAUGAAUGAGUUUUACAGUUUCCAAACAUCUGCAUCUCCAUUUGCUUAUGUCUGAAACCCAGUCCUUCCUGAAUACCCUCGAGCGUCUUCCACAGAUCUUCUUAGCUUCUGCACUUGAGGGAUCCUAAGUCAAGGACCCAUCUCUUCAAUUUCCCCACGAUCCAGGAAAUAAGAGUUAAUGUCAGGAAGGCCAGGGGCUUCGAGAAUUCAGCGAUCUGCUUUGUUCCUGACAGCAGCUGUUGCAGAGGCCUGCUCCUCUUUCUACAUCUCUGCCUCAAGCUUCUCAGGAGGGCUAGGAGACAGGGACACACACAUACACUCAUCGUUCUGAGUACGUGCUGUGGAAGCAGAACCGAUGACAAGGCCAAGUGUGAAGCCGCUCUAGUAGGUGCUGCCAAACGGUGACCCCAGGCAGCUCUGGUGGAUUCUUCACCACUGGCGCCACCUGGAUGCUGAAGCAAACCAAGGGAUCUGUAUUUUGAUGUUUUCUACGAGGUUGCAUGGAUAUUUAACCACAUUACAACCUAGUUUAGGAAAAAUCUACAUUCUUAAAUAAUAUUGCAGAAGAGCUUAGUUAAAGAGUUGCAGUUCUUCAACUAGUCCUCAAAAUACACAUUACGCUUAUAUGUUGCAAGAACAUUGCACCAUUUUGAAAGAAUCACAAAACAAAGUAUCCAUUUCAUUUCGGUUUCGUCCAGAAUAAAGAUGAAGAUUUCUUCCUGAUCACUGAGCCUUUGCUAUUUGCUUCUGACUUUGUUCUCCAACUGACAGCAAGUAUAAAUAUGAUGUCAGAGAGAUGAUAAUAAGCAUUUAAUUAGAGCACUAUCAAAGUACUAAAGUAUUCAAGCGAUGUGAAUAGACAUGUUUUUAUCAUCUUUUAGACGCUUGUGAUCAUUUGGGAAAUUUUACUUGUCAUUAUUAAAUAACUAAUUGUA